rnacentral:rRNA from 1 species
AUUGAACGCUGGCGGCAUGCUUUACACAUGCAAGUCGAACGGCAGCACGGACUUCGGUCUGGUGGCGAGUGGCGAACGGGUGAGUAAUACAUCGGAACGCACCCAGUAAUGGGGGAUAACUAUCCGAAAGGAUAGCUAAUACCGCAUACGCCCUACGGGGGAAAGAGGGGGAUCGCAAGACCUCUUGUUAUUGGAGCGGCCGAUGGCUGAUUAGCUAGUUGGUGGGGUAAAGGCCUACCAAGGCAACGAUCAGUAGCGGGUCUUAGAGGACGAUCCGCCACACUGGAACUGAGACACGGUCCAGUCUCCUACGGGAGGCAGCAGUGGGGAAUCUUGGACAAUGGGCGCAAGCCUGAGCCAGCAAUGCCGCGUGCGUGAAGAAGGCCUUCGGGUUGUAAAGCGCUUUUGUCAGGGAGCAAAUCCUUGUGGCUAAUACCCACCGGGGAUGAGAGUACCUGAAGAAUAAGGACCGGCUACUACGUGCCAGCCGCCGCCGUAA